rnacentral:rRNA from 1 species
AAUAGAUACCCAGGUAGUCCACGCUGUAAACGUUGGGCGCUAGGUGUGGGGGGGCCUCUCCGGUUCCCUGUGCCGCAGCUAACGCAUUAAGCGCCCCGCCUGGGGAGUACGGCCGCAAGGCUAAAACUCAAAGGAAUUGACGGGGGCCCGCACAAGCGGCGGAGCAUGCGGAUUAAUUCGAUGCAACGCGAAGAACCUUACCUGGGUUUGACAUGGCCGCAAAACUCGCAGAGAUGUGAGGUCCUUCGGGGCGGUCACAGGUGGUGGCAUGGCUGUCAUCAGCUCGUGUCGUGAGAUGUUGGGUUAAGUCCCGCAACGAGCGCAACCCUCGUUCGAUGUUGCCAGCGCGUUAUGGCGGGGACUCAUCGAAGACUGCCGGGGUCAACGUCGGAGGAAGGUGGGGAUGACGUCAAGUCAUCAUGCCCCUUAUGUCCAGGGCUUCACGCAUGCUACAAUGGCCGGUACAAUGGGCUGCGAUACCGUGAGGUGGAGCGAAUCUCAAAAAGCCGGUCUCAGUUCGGAUUGGGGUCG